rnacentral:RNase_P_RNA from 14 species
GGUGGGAGGAUGCUCAUCAGCAGGGCCACGAGCUGAGAGUUCAUCUCUCCAUGGACCGUGGGAAGGUCUGAGACUGGAGCCUUCCCCUGCCCUAACCAGGCUCUCCUCGAGCAGGGAGGUGAGUUCCCAGAGAGCAGGGAGGGGCUCCACGCAUGGGCAGACUGGACAGGAGAAGCGAGGUAUCCGAGUGGGUGGAUACCUCCCUUACCAGAGCUUGGAACAGACUCACUGCCUGCAGUGCGAGUUCAAUGGCAGAGGUGAGGCACCUCUCGGGUCCCAUAACCCAAUUCAGACUACUCUCCCCCGCC